GACGAACGCUGGCGGCGUGCUUAACACAUGCAAGUCGAACGGAAAGGCCCUGCUUUUGUGGGGUGCUCGAGUGGCGAACGGGUGAGUAACACGUGAGUAACCUGCCCUUGACUUUGGGAUAACUUCAGGAAACUGGGGCUAAUACCGGAUAGGAGCUCCUGCUGCAUGGUGAGGGUUGGAAAGUUUCUGCGGUUGGGGAUGGACUCGCGGCUUAUCAGCUUGUUGGUGGGCUAGUGGCUUGCCAAGGCUUUGACCGGUAGCCGGCCUGAGAGGGUGACCGGCCACAAUGGGACUGAGAUACGGAGCAGACUCCUACGGGAGGCAGCAGUGGGGAAUAUGGCACAACGGGAGGAAGCGGGAUGCAGCAACGCCGCGUGUGUGAUGACCGCCUGCGGGGUGUAAACCGCAUUCGCCUGUGACGAAGCGGGAGUGACGGUAAUGGGUAAAGAAGCACCGGCUAACUACGUG
rnacentral:rRNA from 1 species